AUGAACGCUAGCUACAGGCUUAACACAUGCAAGUCGAGGGGCAGCAUGAACUUAGCUUGCUAAGUUUGAUGGCGACCGGCGCACGGGUGAGUAACACGUAUCCAACCUUCCGUUUACUCAGGGAUAGCCUUUCGAAAGAAAGAUUAAUACCUGAUAGUAUGGUGAGAUUGCAUGAUAACACCAUUAAAGAUUUAUUGGUAAACGAUGGGGAUGCGUUCCAUUAGGUAGUAGGCGGGGUAACGGCCCACCUAGCCAACGAUGGAUAGGGGUUCUGAGAGGAAGGUCCCCCACAUUGGAACUGAGACACGGUCCAAACUCCUACGGGAGGCAGCAGUGAGGAAUAUUGGUCAAUGGGCGAGAGCCUGAACCAGCCAAGUAGCGUGAAGGAUGAAGGUCCUACGGAUUGUAAACUUCUUUUAUACGGGAAUAAAGUUUCCUACGUGUAGGAUUUUGUAUGUACCGUAUGAAUAAGCAUCGGCUAACUCCGUGCCAGCAGCCGCGGUAAUACGGAGGAUGCGAGCGUUAUCCGGAUUUAUUGGGUUUAAAGGGAGCGCAGACGGGAGAUUAAGUCAGUUGUGAAAGUUUGCGGCUCAACCGUAAAAUUGCAGUUGAUACUGGUUUCCUUGAGUGCAGUUGAGGCAGGCGGAAUUCGUGGUGUAGCGGUGAAAUGCUUAGAUAUCACGAAGAACCCCGAUUGCGAAGGCAGCUUGCUAAACUGUAACUGACGUUCAUGCUCGAAAGUGUGGGUAUCAAACAGGAUUAGAUACCCUGGUAGUCCACACGGUAAACGAUGGAUACUCGCUGUUGGCGAUAUACUGUCAGCGGCCAAGCGAAAGCAUUAAGUAUCCCACCUGGGGAGUACGCCGGCAACGGUGAAACUCAAAGGAAUUGACGGGGACCCGCACAAGCGGUGGAGCAUGUGGUUUAAUUCGAAGCAACGCGAAGAACCUUACCAAGUCUUGACAUCCCGGUGACCGGACAGUAAUGUGUCCUUUUCUUCGGAACACCGGUGACAGGUGGUGCAUGGUUGUCGUCAGCUCGUGUCGUGAGAUGUUGGGUUAAGUCCCGCAACGAGCGCAACCCUUAUCCUUUGUUGCCAGCGGUCCGGCCGGGAACUCAAAGGAGACUGCCAGUGAUAAACUGGAGGAAGGUGGGGAUGACGUCAAAUCAGCACGGCCCUUACGUCCGGGGCUACACACGUGUUACAAUGGGAGGUACAGAAGGCCGCUACCCGGCGACGGGAUGCCAAUCCCCAAAACCUCUCUCAGUUCGGACUGGAGUCUGCAACCCGACUCCACGAAGCUGGAUUCGCUAGUAAUCGCGCAUCAGCCACGGCGCGGUGAAUACGUUCCCGGGCCUUGUACACACCGCCCGUCAAGCCAUGAAAGCCGGGGGUACCUGAAGUGCGUAACCGCAAGGAGCGCCCUAGGGUAAAACCGGUAAUUGGGGCU
rnacentral:rRNA from 1 species